rnacentral:tRNA from 1 species
GGGGAUGUAGUUAAACAUAACAUUUGAUUUGCACUCAAAAAGUAUUGAAACCUCAAUCUUCCUUA